UACGUAGGGGGCAAGCGUUGUCCGGAUUUAUUGGGCGUAAAGAGCGUGUAGGCGGCCUGACAGGUCUGCUGUGAAAACUCGAGGCUCAACCUCGAGAUGUCGGCGGAAACCGUCUGGCUAGAGUCCGGAAGAGGAGAGUGGAAUUCCUGGUGUAGCGGUGAAAUGCGCAGAUAUCAGGAAGAACGCCUAUGGCGAAGGCAGCUCGCUGGGACGGUACUGACGCUGAGACGCGAAAGCGUGGGGAGCGAACAGG
rnacentral:rRNA from 1 species